rnacentral:rRNA from 1 species
GGAAUAUUGGACAAUGGGCGAAAGCCUGAUCCAGCAAUGUCGCGUGAGUGAUGAAGGCCCUAGGGUUGUAAAGCUCUUUCGGCGGGGAAGAUGAUGACGGUACCCGCAGAAGAAGCCCCGGCUAACUUCGUGCCAGCAGCCGCGGUAAUACGAAGGGGGCUAGCGUUGUUUGGAAUUACUGGGCGUAAAGGGCGCGUAGGCGGCGCGUUAAGUCAGGUGUGAAAGCCCCGGGCUCAACCCGGGAUGUGCAUUUGAUACUGACGUGCUUGAAUCCGGAAGAGGAUGACGGAUUUCCCAGUGUAGAGGUGAAAUUCAUUGAUAUUGGGAAGAACACCAGUGGCGAAGGCGGUCAUCUGGUCCGGUAUUGACGCUGAGGCGCGAAAGCGUGGGGAGCAAAC